AUGAUGUUCUCUUAUGUAUUGCUGUGAUUGUCAGGUGAGGAUUGAAGUGAUCUGUUCCAUAGUGAACAACACGUUUAUGAUUUUAUUCUUAAAUUAAACUUUUAGCACAUGGUGUUAAAAGUUUAAACAAGUAAAUUUCACGAAAUACAUUCAUUCCCCACAUAUUUGAUAAGGAAAAAGAAAAAAAAACCAAUUGAUAGAAGUUCAAGAACUUUAAUUUAUUAAAAUAUUAAAGCAUGUUACUGAACAGUUCGAUGACCGAGAUGAACGAGAACAUCAAACAUUAAACAUAAGAACCAGACCAUAGCACUAACAGGUCGGACCCAAGCUUCAUCGUCCAUGACGGUGUCAGUUUUUAUUGUCUUAAUGUCGUUUGUGGAGGUGGUGAACUGUCUGUCUCCUGCCCGAGCAGCGCAGCCUGGUGUCAGCUCAGAGCAACACGUCGACACGCAACCUGCUCCUCGUGAAUAUCCUGCUUCGGUAUUUAGAACAUCUCGACGAGCGGAUCACAACACUCCGACCCACGUGUAUUUCGGGUAGGAUGCGCGUGCCCGCGCUUUAGGGGCCGGUGACGUGCCGCGUGCCCGCGCAUUAGCUGCAGUAGCACGGAAUGACAUCGUGACCAGGUGAGGAAGUUGGACACCAGGCCAGUUAGCCCCAGCCCCUUUUCACAGUGUCGUGUUAUUCGCGGUGUAAUUCAGUCUCAUGUGAUCAGAUCUUCAUAUCUAUAUGAAUGUUUCAUGCACUGGUUGUUCAGUGUGUUGACUUGUUGGACACAUGUUGGUGCUUCUGCUCUUCAGGUGUUGAAGUGUCUGAACGUUUGGUCUCCUCAGGGAACCAUGAGGGCGUUUGUCCGACUCUUCUCGAGGCAGAAGAAGGUGAAGACGUGUCUUUGUGCUGUCGCCUGGUUCCCUCGGUCGACUUGAAGGACCUCACCCUGGAAGUCACCAGAACUGACGUGGACAAGGAGGUUUACGUGUGUCGACUCGGGAAGGAGAUCGCUGAAGAACAGUCGUCUCAGUACAAACACAGAACACGUCUGAGACAAGACUCGAUCACAGGAACCUUCACUCUGACGAUCUCCUCAGUGAACACGUCCGACAGUGGAACGUACCAGUGGUACUCACCCCAACAUGAGGCCAUGUGCAGGUUCAACCUCACAGUGGGUAAGAAGUGAAUCUAAUACUGUACAGGACAGUUGUGUUUGUAUCUGACCUGAAACAGUGAAGAAGAGAGACGGGUUCAGGACCACGACGCCUCUGGUGACGACAAACAGCCCUGGUGAAGGAAAGAAGGAACAAGUCAGAGUCAGAGUCGGAGUCGGAGUCAGAGUCGGAGUCGGACUCGGACUCCUUGUUGCUGUUGUGAUUAUUAUCAUCUUCCUGGUGAAAACUGGAACGAUCCGGAAAUGUACGGAGAGAGUCCGAGGACGAAGGAGACCAGAUGCAGAUCAGGUGUCGAGCAUCCAAGAAUGUGAACAGGCUGAGAAGCUGGUGGACGUCGUCGUCGUCGGGGUGAGGAGGUCGACGGAGCGAGUCGACAACACUCCACGUUAUCUCACAUGAGACAACCUGUCGUCUUGUUUCCUCACGUCUGGACACGAACAGUCCAGAGUUUUAUCCAGAGAUGUAAUUAUAUAACUGGAAUAUGGUUUUAGAGAAACAUUAAUGAUGCCUUUUUAUUUAAAUUUUACUGAUCACUAUUUAAAGUCUGGCCCCAAACAACAAAUCACAAAUAUUGACCCCAUAUGAGCUUUUAUGCUCUUAUUUGUAUUUAUUUGCCUUUACGUAAUGUCGUCCUUUUCUUUGUGUUGUUCUCAGUCUUUUAUUUGUACUUAUAUAUAUAUAUAUAUAUAUAUAUAUGUGUGUAAUAACUGCCUUCAGACGUGGAAACAAAGUGAUGUGGGCAACUUCAUGACCCCUGUGUCCAGGCUGCCACAUAUGGAGGUUUACAUUGUUGGAAUAAAAAUAUUUUAAAUGUUCAAGGCCUUUUCCUUAUACUCUCAGCAUUAACAAUCCAACCAUUACAUUUACAUCUUAUAGUUGUGUUAUGACUUGCCUUUACGUAAUGUUGUCCUUUUCUUUGUGUUGUUCUCAGUCUUUUAUUUGUACUUUCUGUUUUUACGUGAAGUCGUCCUCAUUCUUAUUUGUUUUAUUAGAGUAAAUGACCCCGAGUCUGUUGUGUCUUUGUAACCCCUGUUUUUAAAGAAAUUAUUAUUAAAUAGCACUUUUCUGAACAAUAAUGAAACGUUUUUGUGAUU